rnacentral:rRNA from 1 species
GUAGGUGGCAAGCGUUGUCCGGGAAUUAUUGGGCGUAAAGCGCGCGCAGGCGGUCCUUUAAGUCUGAUGUGAAAGCCCACGGGCUCAACCGUGAGGGUCAUUGGAAACUGGGGGACUUGAGUACAGAAGAGGAAAGCGGAAUUCCAAGUGUAGCGGUGAAAUGCGUAGAGAUUUGGAGGAACACCAGUGGCGAAGGCGGCUUUCUGGUCUGUAACUGACGCUGAGGCGCGAAAGCGUGGGGAGCAAACAGGAUUAGAUACCCUGGUAGUCCACGCCGUAAACGAUGAGUGCUAAGUGUUAGGGGGUUUCCGCCCCUUAGUGCUGCAGCUAACGCAUUAAGCACUCCGCCUGGGGAGUACGGCCGCAAAGGCUGA